AAACCAGCACCUCAAGUGGUCAGGAUGAUUAUUGGGCCUAAAGCAUCCGUAGCCUGCUUUGUCAGUUUUCGGUUAAAUCCAUACGCUCAACGUAUGGGCUGCCGGAAAUACUGCAUAGCUAGGGAGUGGGAGAGGUAGACGGUACUCGGGAGGAAGGGGUAAAAUCCUUUGAUCUCUCGAUGACCACCUGUGGCGAAGGCGGUCUACCAGAACACGUCCGACGGUGAGGGAUGAAAGCUGGGGGAGCAAACCGGAUUAGAAACCCCGGUAGUCC
rnacentral:rRNA from 1 species